CAAUUUUUUUACAAUACAAUCAAGAGAAAUGACUAAAGUAGGAGCAAUGUUCACGGGCUUCUUCAUUACCUUUCUCAUUUUAUAUUCAGGGAGUUUGAAUGCAACUGCUCAGUGUUGUAACAACCAUCCUAGUUUGGGAGAUUGCAAGCCUGGAGUAGAUGAUCAAGCUAAUGGCAAAUGUUGGACUUACUGCACCUCUGGAUGUGUGAAAGGAGGAUUUUGUAAGCUUGUUGGGAGUCAUCAUGUAUGUCAUUGCUAUUGUUGAUUUCAUAUAUUUUCUUUCAUUUCCGCCUUUGUUUUCAUGUUAAGCAAUGGAAUGCAUUGCACUUUCUUUCAUUUCCGCCUUUCUUUUCAUGUUAUGCAAUGGAUGUAUUGCACUUUUACAAAUUUACUUUGAAUAAAUAAAGUCUGAACU